GGUGACUCAGUGGUAGAGCGCUUGCCUUGCCUGCAAGAGGCUGAGGUUCCAUUCCUCAGCACCA
rnacentral:tRNA from 1 species